rnacentral:rRNA from 1 species
UACGGAAGGCAGCAGUGGGGAAUAUUGCACAAUGGGCGCAAGCCUGAUGCAGCCAUGCCGCGUGUAUGAAGAAGGCCUUCGGGUUGUAAAGUACUUUCAGUCGUGAGGAAGGUGUUAAGGUUAAUAACCUUAGCAAUUGACGUUAGCGACAGAAGAAGCACCGGCUAACUCCGUGCCAGCAGCCGCGGUAAUACGGAGGGUGCGAGCGUUAAUCGGAAUUACUGGGCGUAAAGGGCACGCAGGCGGUUAAUUAAGUUGGAUGUGAAAUCCCCGGGCUUAACCUGGGAAUGGCAUUCAAGACUGGUUAGCUAGAGUCUUGUAGAGGGGGUAGAAUUCCAUGUGUAGCGGUGAAAUGCGUAGAGAUGUGGAGGAAUACCGGUGGCGAAGGCGGCCCCUGGGACAAAGGACUGACGCUCAUGUGCGAAAAGCGUGGGGAGCAAACAGGGAUUAGAUACC